CAAUAGCGUAUAUUAAAGUUGUUGCAGUUAAAAAGCUCGUAGUUGAAUUUCUGGUGGGCGCGCCGGUCUUCCAAGUGUUGUACUGGGCGCAGUCCGCCAUCCUUGUGGAGAGGGCUCGCAUUGAGUUGCGUGUCGGAUCUGCAUCAUUUACUGUGAAAAAAUUAGAGUGUUUAAAGCAGGCUGUCGCUUGAAUACAUUAGCAUGGAAUAAUAAGAUAGGACUUCGGUCUAUUUUGUUGGUUGCGAACCGAGGUAAUGAUUAAUAGGGAUAGUUGGGGGUAUUCAUAUUUAAUUGUCAGAGGUGAAAUUCUUGGAUUUAUGAAAGAUGAACAACCGCGAAAGCAUUUACCAAGGAUGUUUUCAUUAA
rnacentral:rRNA from 1 species